ensembl:snoRNA U3 Small nucleolar RNA U3
AAGAAAAUGCAAAGUUCAGGGAUCAUUUCUAUAGUUAUUAGUAGAGAAGUUUCUCUGAUCAUACAGAGCACCUGAAACCCUGAGGAGGAGUCAGAGUAUUCUUCCCUGAGCGUGAAGCCCAUUCUAAGUGUUGCUUUUGCAAUUACCUUUUCCUAUUAAUGAUUAUUCUCUCUUCCCUUGGAAGACGGAGAGGGAGAAGAUGCAGUUUGAAUGG